rnacentral:misc_RNA from 1 species
UCGGAAAAAAGAGACUUGAUUUGGUUCUGAGUGCUUGCCUUUACUUUGUUAUUGGCUCACUUUAAAUACAUUAGCUGGGUUUUAUUUGUCCAGUCUUUAGGGAAUUAUACUUACUUGGUGGUUCCAGCGUGAUAAGAUCUGCUGAAACGUGCAAGUAAGAAAGUCUCUUUAGAUUAACACUGGAUUAGGUAGCCUGCUUCUAACCAAGGGUAAGUUGAGUAACAUCACUUGCUACACAUUUUUAAU